rnacentral:rRNA from 1 species
CCUACGGGAGGCAGCAGUGAGGAAUAUUGGUCAAUGGACGAGAGUCUGAACCAGCCAAGUAGCGUGAAGCAUGACUGCCCUAUGGGUUGUAAACUUCUUUUAUAUGGGAAUAAAACGUUCCACGUGUGGGAUUUUGUAUGUACCAUAUGAAUAAGGAUCGGCUAACUCCGUGCCAGCAGCCGCGGUAAUACGGAGGAUCCGAGCGUUAUCCGGAUUUAUUGGGUUUAAAGGGAGCGUAGGUGGAUUGUUAAGUCAGUUGUGAAAGUUUGCGGCUCAACCGUAAAAUUGCAGUUGAAACUGGCAGUCUUGAGUACAGUAGAGGUGGGCGGAAUUCGUGGUGUAGCGGUGAAAUGCUUAGAUAUCACGAAGAACUCCGAUUGCGAAGGCAGUUCACUGGACUGCAACUGACACUGAGGCUCGAAAGUGUGGGUAUCAAACAGGAUUAGAUACCCGAGUAGUC